UUUAAGGUGUGACUAUCUGCAUUCCGUCGCUUUGAUUCAGAAGGUUUUAAUUUCCUUUUGGUGAAAUUCUGGAAAAAUCAAGUCAUUUUUACUGUGAGGAAAAAUUUACAGUCAAGGUGUAAUUUGUUAUUGAUUAAUACUCAUUCCAGGAAAAAUUUACAGUCAAGGUGCAAUUUGUUAUUGAUUGAUACUCAUUUCAGGUAAGUAUCAUAGAAAACUCAUUAUACAUCCACCUUAUUUCUGAAUCAAGGAUUACUCAUACAUGUACUCUUGAUAGCCCGUUAUGUUCAAGGUGUCCUUACCCUCGUGUCUACAUGUAUGGUCCUAGCUGUCUAGUUUAAUUUAUACUUAGAGCAAAUUACUUUGGAAAAUCAAUCUUUGUUGUGUACUGCCUGGCUGGUGAUGGGGAAAGGAUUGGGGAGGGGAUGGCACAUCAGAGGUAAACUUUCUAAAUCAUUGAAAAUGAGCCUGAAUCCACCUGGAAAUUAGAAAGGUUAUAACUGUAAAGAAAGAGGAGGAGAUGGAUGACUCCUUCAAUGCUCUGUUUAAGAAAUCAGAUAUCUUUUAAUCAGCAUUUUCACCUUAUAAAAAUAACUUUGAAUUGUUCAGCAAGUGUCAAAAAUAAUUUUGCAUAGACCAACAGAACAACUCUAAAUGGUCUGCAGGCUACAAACAUUAUUUCCAGAUGUAAGCAACAACACAACAUUCUGUUCAAGUGACUAAUCAUCAAAAAUUUAUUUUUAAAGGGGAACUCAAGGCUAAUUUUAACUAUUUUUUGUAUUGAUGUUAACAUAGGAUGGAUCAAUUUGACAGCGAUAAUAUAUAUCGACGAUGAAUGAUUUUAUGAAAAA